GGCCUCACAUCACUUCGAUACUUAGAUUUUAGAGGCUGCCCAGAAAUAAGUAUUGAACAACAAAGUGAUGUAGCUGAUUCCCAAUGGCCCAACAUUUCUCAUAUCAACUUCAUUCUGAUUGAUGGAGAAAUAGUAGGAAGAAGGAGAAAACAUAGUAAGAGUUUGAUGAGUGGGUGCCUCUAAUUGCUCAACCACACUUAAUGUUUACUGUUGUGGGAAUAGCAAGACUUAUCCAUUUCUCCAUUUAGCUGCAUUGAUCUGCUCCCAAAAUAAAGUGUUUUCUGUUAGCUGUUGAGACUGUAAAUUGCUGUUAAAUUCUCCUAAUCCUUGUCCCACGUCGGCUUGGUGAUGAUCCUAACUUCUCUAUAUAAGUGUGGAUAACCCUCUCCCUUAUGAGGCUUUUUAAGGGGUGAGUGACCCAUUUCUAAUAUGGGAUCAUCCACGUGAUGGAAGUCCGAUGUGUCAUUCCGGCCCACACGUGAAGGCCUAAGAUUAUAUUAAGAUAAGACUGUUUUUAUAGCAAUAGAGCACUAAA